UUUAAGCUUCCUACGGGAGGCUGCAGUGGGGAAUCUUGCGCAUUGGGUGAAAGCCUGACGCAGCCAUGCCGCGUGAAUGAUGAAGGUCUUAGGAUUGUAAAAUUCUUUCACCGGGGACGAUAAUGACGGUACCCGGAGAAGAAGCCCCGGCUAACUUCGUGCCAGCAGCCGCGGUAAUACGAAGGGGGCUAGCGUUGCUCGGAAUUACUGGGCGUAAAGGGAGCGUAGGCGGACAUUUAAGUCAGGGGUGAAAUCCCGGGGCUCAACCUCGGAAUUGCCUUUGAUACUGGGUGUCUUGAGUAUGAGAGAGGUGUGUGGAACUCCGAGUGUAGAGGUGAAAUUCGUAGAUAUUCGGAAGAACACCAGUGGCGAAGGCGACACACUGGCUCAUUACUGACGCUGAGGCUCGAAAGCGUGGGGAGCAAACAGGAUUAGAUACCCUUGUAGUCGA
rnacentral:rRNA from 1 species